ACUCCAAACAGCGAACUUGAACCUACUGAAGCCAACAUACACAGUAAGGACCCGAAUGGCUAGGGAUUAAGAGAAUGUGCUGUUAAACUCAGUAGCCUCGCUGUGAAUAGCCAAUAUCAUCAUAGGUUAAAGGACCACUCAUACCACUGUAGCAUCGAGAAGACCACUGACGAGUGAGUAGACAUCAAUGUGGUUCUCGUGUUGGUCAUGCUCGUGUAAGUUAUUCUCUAACAAUCACCUGCACCUUCACCCCAGUAUCUCUACACU
rnacentral:lncRNA from 1 species